GGCUAGUUAGUACGUUUCUGUAUGUUGGCCGCGUUAAAAUUUCUUGUUGGCUCCUGCCGACACGUUUUUCUUCGAAUGUUGUAUAAAACUCUAUUACAGUUAAAAAAUUUGAAAUUUCUUAUACAUUUCUAAUACAUUUGACUUGCAUCAUUUGAAAGCUUGCAAAAAACUACAUAUAAGACAUUUAAACGGUUACCCGGGUUUUUCAAGUUCUUCUUGAGUUAUGAGCUGUUGAAUGCGUGUUUUCAGACUAGUACCCAGG